rfam:Plasmodium falciparum RAJ116 genomic scaffold supercont1.107, whole genome shotgun sequence.
AGCUGCCUCAGUAGCCCAAUCGUUAGGUAUGUUGCCUUUCUUUGUGAGAACGUUGGUUCGACUCCGCUUGCCGACAAUUUCAUAGGAAAAGUUGCAGAUCGAGCUGUUGGGUUACCCGGAGGGGGGCGGCGCAAUUUUUAAAAUUUUUUUUUUUUU